CCAAUAGCGUAUAUUAAAGUUGUUGCAGUUAAAAAGCUCGUAGUUGAAUUUCGGGAUCAGUACGCUGGUCGUGCCUUCGGUAUGCACUGGUUUCACUGAUUCCUCCCUUCUGAAGAACCGUAAUGCCAUUCAGUUGGUGUGGCGGGGAAUCAGGAUUGUUACUUUGAAAAAAUUAGAGUGUUUAAAGCAGGCUCGCGCUUGAAUACAUUAGCAUGGAAUAAUGAAAUAGGACGUUUGAUCCUAUUUUGUUGGUUUCUAGGAUUGACGUAAUGAUUAAUAGGGAUAGUUGGGGGCAUUAGUAUUCAAUUGUCAGAGGUGAAAUUCUUGGAUUUAUUGAAGACUAACUACUGCGAAAGCAUUUGCCAAGGAUGUUUUCAUUAAUCAAGAACGAAAGUUAGGGGAUCGAAGACGAUCAGAUACCGUCGUAGUCUUAACCAUAAACUAUGCCGACUAGGGAUCGGAUGAUGUUAAUUUUUUAAUGACUCAUUCGGCGCCUUACG
rnacentral:rRNA from 2 species